UACGUAGGGUGCGAGCGUUGUCCGGAAUUAUUGGGCGUAAAGAGCGUGUAGGCGGCCAGGUAGGUCUGCUGUGAAAACUCGAGGCUCAACCUCGAGACGUCGGCGGAAACCAUCUGGCUAGAGUCCGGAAGAGGAUCGCGGAAUUCCCGGUGUAGAGGUGAAAUUCGUAGAUAUCAGGAGGAACGCCUGUGGUGUAGACGGCUCUCUGGACCAUUACUGACACUGAGGUACGAAAGCGUGGGUAGCAAACAGG
rnacentral:rRNA from 1 species